UACGGGGGGGGCAAGCGUUGUUCGGAAUUACUGGGCGUAAAGGGCUCGUAGGCGGCCAACUAAGUCAUACGUGAAAUCCCUCGGCUUAACCGGGGAACUGCGUCUGAUACUGGAUGGCUUGAGUUUGGGAGAGGGAUGCGGAAUUCCAGGUGUAGCGGUGAAAUGCGUAGAUAUCUGGAGGAACACCGGUGGCGAAGGCGGCAUCCUGGACCAACACUGACGCCGAGGAGCGAAAGCCAGGGGAGCAAACGGG
rnacentral:rRNA from 1 species